AUGGUAGGAUAGAGGCCUACCAUGGUGGUAACGGGUAACGGGGUGUUAGGGCACGACACCGGAGAGGGAGCCUGAGAAACGGCUACCACAUCCAAGGAAGGCAGCAGGCGCGCAAAUUACCCAAUCCCGACACGGGGAGGUAGUGACAAUAAAUAACAAUACAGGGUUCUUUGAAUCUUGUAAUUGGAAUGAGUACAAUUUAAAUCUCUUAACGAGGAACAAUUGGAGGGCAAGUCUGGUGCCAGCAGCCGCGGUAAUUCCAGCUCCAAUAGCGUAUAUUAAAGUUGUUGCAGUUAAAAAGCUCGUAGUUGAAUUUCGGGAUCAAUACGUCGGUCGUGCUUUCGGGUACGUACUGGCGUCAUUGGUUUCUCCUUUCUGACGAACCAUGAUGUCAUUAAUUUGGUGUUAUGGGGAGUUAGGACUGUUACUUUGAAAAAAUUAGAGUGUUUAAAGCAGGCAUUAGCUUGAAUACAUUAGCAUGGAAUAAUGAAAAAGGACGUUCGAUCCUAUUUUGUUGGUUUCUAGGAUCAACGUAAUGAUUAAUAGGGAUAGUUGGGGGCAUUAGUAUUCAAUUGUCAGAGGUGAAAUUCUUGGAUUUAUUGAAGACUAACUACUGCGAAAGCAUUUGCCAAGGAUGUUUUCAUUAAUCAAGAACGAAAGUUAGGGGAUCGAAGACGAUCAGAUACCGUCGUAGUCUUAACCAUAAACUAUGCCGACUAGGGAUCGGAUGAUGUUAAUUUUUUAAUGACUCAUUCGGCGCCUUACGGGAAACCAAAGUGUUUGGG
rnacentral:rRNA from 1 species